AAAAACCAGAGGGAAUUUUGGCUUUUCCUUCAGAACUCUAGCAAAGGAUUUUUUGCUCUCCCUCACAACAGACUAUUGAUCCAACCAACACGACACAAACCAUGAAAAAAACAGAGGAAACAAAAAAAAAAAACGAGAAAACAGAGGAAGAAAGAGAGGAGAGGAAGGGAGCCAGAGAGAAGAACGACUAGAGAGAAACAACCGAAAAAAGAAACAGAGGGGAAGAAAGGAGUAUUGUCCAACCAGCGCAGCAUCUCCUUACAUCUUCGUCUCCAGCAGCAGCUACACCAGGU
rnacentral:lncRNA from 1 species